GACUAUUGAUUAAAAUCUGGAUGAAUCGC
rnacentral:sRNA from 1 species